GAUGAACGCUGGCGGCGUGCCUAAUACAUGCAAGUCGAGCGAAUGGAUUAAGAGCUUGCUCUUAUGAAGUUAGCGGCGGACGGGUGAGUAACACGUGGGUAACCUGCCCAUAAGACUGGGAUAACUCCGGGAAACCGGGGCUAAUACCGGACAACAUUUUGAACAGCAUGGUUCGAAAUUGAAAGGCGGCUUCGGCUGCCACUUAUGGAUGGACCCGCGUCGCAUUAGCUAGUUGGUGAGGUAACGGCUCACCAAGGCAACGAUGCGUAGCCGACCUGAGAGGGUGAUCGGCCACACUGGGACUGAGACACGGCCCAGACUCCUACGGGAGGCAGCAGUAGGGAAUCUUCCGCAAUGGACGAAAGUCUGACGGAGCAACGCCGCGUGAGUGAUGAAGGCUUUCGGGUCGUAAAACUCUGUUGUUAGGGAAGAACAAGUGCUAGUUGAAUAAGCUGGCACCUUGACGGUACCUAACCAGAAAGCCACGGCUAACUACGUGCCAGCCGCCGCGGUAA
rnacentral:rRNA from 1 species